CGAGGGGCCGCGGCGCGCGGCGUGGGCCGGGCCGGGGCAGAAGGAGAAGUUGGCGGCGGCGGCGGCGGCCGCGGGGAGCGCGGAGCUGCGCGGCCGCGGGGCGCAGGUGGGCCCCGCCGCCCCGUCACCCUCCAGGAGCAGGUGAGCCACUGACUAACGCACAUUGUGCUCUCGGCGACUCCACUGUGCGUGUGACAGCGGCUAACCUGCUCCUCGGACAUCGCUGUGCGGCCGCCUCACGUCGCCUCGUCCGCAUGACGCCUCUCGCCCCGAGCGGGACACGAGGUGCAGCGACACGCCGAGGAACUCCCACCCGUCCGUCUGUCCGUCCGUCCGUCCGUCCGCCCGUCUGCUGCCUUGCCAUCGCCCCGUGAGCGAGAGGUGGGAUGCCGGUAGGGCAGAGCCGCAUGGCGCGGGCGGCAGAGGGCCGAGGAGGGAUGGAUCCCCCCUUUGUGGCCCAGUUUGUCUCCGAAGUCAAUAAAUGCUUACGGACGCCGUACCGAGUUAAAGGGAUGCUUUAUCCCGGCCGGUGACGUCUUGAUACCCAGUGACUAACUGAACUGCUAUUGCCAAGGGUGUGUUAAUAGAAGAAACCAUGCCUGGUAUUGCCCUGGAUGAGUCACCUUUAAAGAGAGACUCUGUAAUCUGUUAAAUGAGAAGCAGCACCGAGCUUUGCUUUCCUUCUUUGCCGUUUGCUUCCCAUCGCACCCCGCACCUUUGCUCACUCUUUCCUGCUCCCACCCACGGGGCUGCCUGUCCCUCUGUCACCGUGGUGUCGCACAGCUGAGGAGCACAGCACAGGGGCUGCUCAGCGGGGAGCACAGCUGUCGCUGGGAGUGGAGGAAGUGACGAGGCAAAUUGCUGCUCGAGCAAAGUUCUCUCUUUCGAUUUUGAACCCAUAAAGAAGCCGGGUGGUUGGAAAGCGUCCUGCUAGGUUAUGGCAUGGCUUCAUCUCCUGCUUAAACUAAUUGCGAGCAGACAUUGCCCUCUGAGGUUUCCAGAAGGGCCUGGGUAGUCUCUGUUGCGUUUGCGUUGCUUGCAUGUAACCCUGGGCUGUUGCAGCAAUGCUGUCAGUAAGCACUUAACCGUACAGAAAGGCAGCACAACAUCCUUCUUGCAGACCGAGUCUCCCACACAGAAGUGCUGCCCGUCCCCAUCUCCCCUGCCUGUACUCCUUUGACGUUUCUCCUGCCGGGUCCCAGAGGAGGAAAAUCUGGUGCUCUGCAUGUCUCGUGCAGAGCGAGUGAGUCAAGGUUGCUUCUGCACACCAGAAAGCUGCCUGAAUUUACCAAAGCUGCUUGUACAAUUGCUGUGUAGCUCGGUGCCUCGCUGCUGGGGAUCCCGCUGGCAGAAAUGGCUCUGCAGGUCACUCUGACGAGGUUGGUCCUGCUUCCCAUCAGGCAGCACUUGGUAUGAAAACUUGUGACUUCCCUCUACCUCCAAGACCAUCCUGUUUGGCUCCAGUAAGCAAAGGCAAGGGAUUGAAUGAAGUUUGUUUGUGUUUCCUUUUUUUUUUUUUGGUGUGCUUCCCUCCAGUAAGUGGGGGAAACGUAUCACUGAAUUUCUGUUUUUAACGUUCUUUUGCAUGAUUCAAAACUAACCUACUGUGCUGUCACCUGAAGUCUUCAAUAAACAGUGCAAAACCAGUGUCUGGAUGCUCAUUACUAUAACUCGGGGCUUGGCAGAUUACGGAGCAGGUCCUUAAGGUGGCCUUUGGUAAGAGGAAGCUGUGCCUGCUCAGGCGUGGCUGAUGUGUGUUGCAUGCUGAGCGCUUCCCAUGUCUCAUUUUGCCUCUAGAGCAAAAGAAGGUGGACUUGAAAAGGAGAGUGGGAGGUGUCGUUGGGACCUGGCUGUCCCUCGAGCCCAAUUCCCCACCACUCCCACAGCAAUGCCUUCACCGCCUGCCCUAGCCCAGGAGCCCUUUCUAAAUACAAAACCCUCACAGCUGGGGCUGCUCCAAUGAGCGCUCCUGGACAAUGAGAAAAUACACUAGGGCUAAGAUUGCCCCUUCAUUGAAGCAGUUUUUUUUUUUCAGUAGCUGAUAACCAGAUUUGUAAGGUGACACUUAGCCUGGUAACCAGAGUAUCCACGAGCUCAAAGCUUUAGUGCUCUCACUGAGAAUGGAUGCUGUAAGAUUCUGGGGAGAGGUAAAGGUGUGCCUUACAGGGGGGGGAUGCUGAAAGUUGGGCCUCUGGGUUGACUCUCUGUGCACCUCAGAGACAUUAUUCUUCUAUUUUAAUGCUUUGCAGAGGGAGCAGGUGGAACCUGUCGUGCACCACGCUGGGAAGAGCAUAUCAUGUUCUGUCAGUAACGUGCCAGUGGCAAAUCCUAAAGCUGCCAGUGAGCCUCACCAAGGAGCAAGUGGGCCUGUCAGGAAUAGAAGUAGAAGGAGUACAUAAAUUGUUUAAGAGUAAGAGGAAGUCAGUCAGUUAAAUGUAAGCAGGGACUUAUAUAAUACAUCUUAAAAAAAAAAUUCUGCUGGCAGGAGGUUCCGUUGGGAAAGAAAGUAGCUCAUCCAUAAACAAGAAUAUCUCCCGACCUCCUCUAGUGCUUUUUUCCCAGCACAAGGUAGAAUGUCCUCUGUCUUCACUUUGAGACAUAAGAAGGAAAACUGUAAUAGUGAGAGCAGACGCUACUCAGUACACAGACACAGGAACAUGCACACGUGCCAGCUCUAAGCAUUCUCUGGCUGCUGGAGACUGGUAUUGUAGGAUCUCUGCACCCAGGAGCAGCGAGCAGAGCAUGUGCACAUCACUCAGAACAAAACUAACCUGUGUUUUCUCCUCCAGUCAUUCACACCUUUCCUUCCGUAACUGGUGCCGAAGUGUGCGCUUUGAAAGCUGCUUGUCAAAUUCAGGGGCUGGGAGGAAACACAAAUGCUUCUAGUAUUCUAGAUGAAUUUCAAAACAAACCCUGGGGAACACAUACAGACACCCAACUGCUAGGAGGGGUGGUUCAGGUGCCUGCAGCGGCACUGCCCUUGAGAAUCACAAGAUGUCCUGAGUCAGAGAGGACCCUCAAGGAUGCCCCUGGGCACCCUGAAUUCAAACCCUGUGCCUGAGAAGCCACCCCAGCGUGGUGCAGCACUACUACCCCAAACCCUGCCCAGGAGGAGGAUGGCUGAUGUUGCGAGCAGACGCUGUGAGGUGGAUGGGAGUGACUUUUGUCAUGCAAUAGAAAAAAAAACUAAUCAGGGUUUGCCAGACACACAGCGCCCAGCACCCCGGCUGAGCAGCUUCAGAAGAGGCACGGGAGCACAAGGACACGACUGACAUUCAGCCCGUGGCUGAACUCCUCUCCCGCACAGCGCCUUGUGCUAACAGAGCCUGCAGGUACCUCGCAGCUCUCAGCAGACACAAAAAGGACGCUGGCACUGCGCGCUACGCAAACACACUCUGCCUCACAACGUUUGGGUGCCGAGGAGCUGGCAGGGAGGAUCAUCCCACCUGGAGAAGGAAGGAGUCCUUCCCACUGCCCUGCCGUGCACGCUGUCCCAGGGCUGUGGGGACGUGGCUCCCCGCUGGCCCUGGCUCAGCAUCCUCCAGCCCCGCUGUGUGCUGGAGCGCUGCCUUGCCCGCUGGCCACAUCUUCCCUCUCCAGUAGGCGCCGUACGCUGGGCUUUCAGAUUGUUUUUUAAGGAAAAAUAAUUUAUUUGCUUUGUUUUAAUCUCAUGACAAUGAGUAAUUCCUUCCUACCGCUCUGUAGUGGCCUAGAAAAGGACAGCAUCAUCUCCACUGUAGCAAGAAGGCUUCUCCCAGGGCAUAAAAUUUUAAUUAGGAACAAUCAUGCAGCCUUGAAAUGGGAAUUGCAAGCAGCGAAAAGUCAAAUCAUCAAUAAAAUAUUCAAUGGCAGAAAUGUAUUAUUGACACAGCCUUUAGAGCAGAUAAAAGCGGAAAGGCAGAGCGCUGCAGCGGGCAUCGGUUAAAUAACACGUGCGGCCUUAAGUGGAGGCCAGGGGCAGCGGGGUGGGACAAG
rnacentral:lncRNA from 1 species